rnacentral:rRNA from 1 species
CCUACGGGUGGCUGCAGUGGGGAAUAUUGGUCAAUGGGGGCAACCCUGAACCAGCAACGCCGCGUGAAGGAAGAAGGUUUUCGGUUUGUAAACUCCUUUUGUUAGAGAAGAUAAUGACGGUAUCUAACGAAUAAGCACCGGCUAACUCCGUGCCAGCAGCCGCGGUAAUACGGAGGGGGCAAGCGUUAUCUGGAUGCACUGGGGGUAAAGAGCGCGUAGGCGGGAUAGCAAGUCAGAUGUGAAAUCUCUGGGCUUAACCAGAGGACUGCAUUUGAAACUGUUAUUCUGGAGUAGGGGAGAGGUAGGCGGAAUUCGUGGUGUAGCGGUAAAAUGCGUAGAGAUCAAGAGGAAUACUCAUGGCGAAGGCGGCCUGCUGGAACAUAACUGACGCUGAGGCGCGAAAGCGUGGGGAGCAAACAGGAUUAGAUACCCCGGUAGUC